UGGGGAAUCUUGCACAAUGGAGGAAACUCUGAUCCAGCCAUGCCGCGUGAAGGAAUAAGGCCCUAUGGGUUGUAAACUUCUUUUAGACGGGACAAAACCCCUUUACGUGUAAAGGGUUGAUGGUACUGUCAGAAUAAGCAUCGGCUAACUUCGUGCCAGCAGCCGCGGUAAUACGAAGGAUGCAAGCGUUAUCCGGAAUUAUUGGGUUUAAAGGGUGCGUAGGCGGACUAAUAAGUCAGUGGUGAAAGCCUGCAGCUUAACUGCAGAAUUGCCAUUGAUACUGUUAGUCUUGAGUACAGUUGAGGUAGGCGGAAUGUGUCAUGUAGCGGUGAAAUGCUUAGAUAUGACACAGAACACCGAUUGCGAAGGCAGCUUGCUAAGCUGUAACUGACGCUGAGGCACGAAAGCGUGGGGAGCAAACA
rnacentral:rRNA from 1 species